GCCCUUAUAGCUCAGUCGGUAGAGCACCUCCAUGGUAAGGAGGGGGUCGUCGGUUCAAUUCCGACUGAGGGCU
rnacentral:tRNA from 1 species